GCCUGGAUGACUCAGCUGGUUGAGCAUCUGACUUCGGCUCAGGUCAUGAUCUCAGGGUUCGUGGGUUCAAGCCCCACGUUGGGCU
rnacentral:tRNA from 1 species